UACGUAGGGGGCUAGCGUUGUCCGGAAUCAUUGGGCGUAAAGCGCGCGUAGGCGGCCCGGUAAGUCCGCUGUAAAAGUCAAAGGCUUAACCUUUGAAUGUCAGUGGAAACUGUCGGGCUAGAGUCCGGAAGAGGCGAGUGGAAUUCCUGGUGUAGCGGUGAAAUGCGCAGAUACCAGGAAGAACACCCGUGGCGAAAGCGGCUCUCUGGAGCGGUACUGACGCUGAGACGCGAAAGCGUGGGGAGCGAACAGG
rnacentral:rRNA from 1 species